rnacentral:rRNA from 1 species
UGGGGAAUUUUGCACAAUGGGGGAAACCCUGAUGCAGCGACGCCGCGUGAUUUAGAAGGCCUUCGGGUUGUAAAAAUCUUUUCUAUGGGAAGAAAAUGACAGUACCAUAGGAAUAAGGACCGGCUAAUUACGUGCCAGCAGCCGCGGUAAUACGUAAGGUCCGAGCGUUGUCCGGAAUCAUUGGGCGUAAAGGGUACGUAGGCGGGUAAGCAAGUUAGAAGUGAAAUCCUGUAGCUCAACUAUAGUAAGCUUUUAAAACUGCUCAGAUUGAGGUAUGGAAGGGAAAGUGGAAUUCCUAGUGUAGCGGUGAAAUGCGCAGAUAUUAGGAGGAAUACCGGUGGCGAAGGCGACUUUCUGGCCAUAACCUGACGCUGAGGUACGAAAGCGUGGGUAGCAAACAGG